UACGGAGGGGGCUAGCGUUGUUCGGAAUUACUGGGCGUAAAGCGCACGUAGGCGGCUUUGUAAGUUAGAGGUGAAAGCCCGGGGCUCAACUCCGGAAUUGCCUUUAAGACUGCAUCGCUAGAAUUGUGGGAGAGGUAAGUGGAAUUCCGAGUGUAGAGGUGAAAUUCGUAGAUAUUCGGAAGAAACACCAGUGGCGAAGGCGACUUACUGGACACAUAUU
rnacentral:rRNA from 1 species